GUGCACCAGGCGCGAAUCCUCCGCAAUGCGGGAAACCGUGACGGGGUCACCCCGAGUGCCACCCGAUGAGGGUGGCUUUUCCCCGGUCUAAAAAGCCGGGGGCAAUAAGCGGGGGGCAAGUCUGGUGUCAGCCGCCGCGGUAAUACCAGCCCCGCGAGUGGUCGGGACGGUUUAUUGGGCCUAAAGGCGUCCGUAGCCGGCUCGGUAAGUCCCUCCUUAAAUCCACGGGGCUCAACCCCGUGGGCUGGGAGGGAUACUGCCGGGCUAGGGGGCGGGAGAGGCCGAGGGUACUCCCGGGGUAGGGGCGAAAGUCCGUUAAUCCCAGGAGGGACCACCAGUGGCGAAGGCGCUCGGCUGGAACGCGCCCGACGGUGAGGGACGAAA
rnacentral:rRNA from 1 species